GAUGAACGCUGGCGGCGUGCCUAAUACAUGCAAGUCGAGCGAACGGACGAGAAGCUUGCUUCUCUGAUGUUAGCGGCGGACGGGUGAGUAACACGUGGAUAACCUACCUAUAAGACUGGGAUAACUUCGGGAAACCGGAGCUAAUACCGGAUAAUAUUUUGAACCGCAUGGUUCAAAAGUGAAAGACGGUCUUGCUGUCACUUAUAGAUGGAUCCGCGCUGCAUUAGCUAGUUGGUAAGGUAACGGCUUACCGAGGCAACGAUGCAUAGCCGACCUGAGAGGGUGAUCGGCCACACUGGAACUGAGACACGGUCCAGACUCCUACGGGAGGCAGCAGUAGGGAAUCUUCCGCAAUGGGCGAAAGCCUGACGGAGCAACGCCGCGUGAGUGAUGAAGGUCUUCGGAUCGUAAAACUCUGUUAUUAGGGAAGAACAUAUGUGUAAGUAACUGUGCACAUCUUGACGGUACCUAAUCAGAAAGCCACGGCUAACUACGU
rnacentral:rRNA from 1 species